AGUGAACGUUGGCGGUAGGCCUAACACAUGCAAGUCGAACGGCAGCACAGUAAGAGCUUGCUCUUACGGGUGGCGAGUGGCGGACGGGUGAGGAAUACAUCGGAAUCUACUUUUUCGUGGGGGAUAACGUAGGGAAACUUACGCUAAUACCGCAUACGACCUACGGGUGAAAGCAGGGGAUCUUCGGACCUUGCGCGAUUGAAUGAGCCGAUGUCGGAUUAGCUAGUUGGCGGGGUAAAGGCCCACCAAGGCGACGAUCCGUAGCUGGUCUGAGAGGAUGAUCAGCCACACUGGAACUGAGACACGGUCCAGACUCCUACGGGAGGCAGCAGUGGGGAAUAUUGGACAAUGGGCGCAAGCCUGAUCCAGCCAUACCGCGUAGGUGAAGAAGGCCUUCGGGUUGUAAAGCCCUUUUGUUGGGAAAGAAAAGCAGCAGGUUAAUACCCCGCUGUUCUGACGGUACCCAAAGAAUAAGCACCGGCUAACUUCGUG
rnacentral:rRNA from 1 species